rnacentral:rRNA from 1 species
GCGUAUAUUAAAGUUGUUGCAGGUUAAAAAGCUCGUAGUUGGAUCUCGGGUCCGGGCUCGCGGUCCACCUCGCGGUGGUUACUGCCCGUCCCGACCUACCUACCGGUUUUCCCUUGGUGCUCUUAACUGAGUGUCUCGGGUGGCCGGAACGUUUACUUUGAAAAAAUUAGAGUGUUCAAAGCAGGCGCUUCGCCUGAAUAAUGUUGCAUGGAAUAAUGGAAUAGGACCUCGGUUCUAUUUUGUUGGUUUUCGGAACUUGAGGUAAUGAUUAAGAGGGACAGACGGGGGCAUUCGUAUGAUGGUGUUAGAGGUGAAAUUCUUGGAUCGCCGUCAGACGAACUACUGCGAAAGCAUUUGCCAAGAAUGUUUUCAUUAAUCAAGAACGAAAGUCAGAGGUUCGAAGACGAUCAGAUACCGUCCUAGUUCUGACCAUAAACGAUGCCGACUAGCGAUCCGCUGGAGUUGUUUCAAUGACCCAGGCGGGCAGCUUCCGGGAAACCAAAGUCUUUGGGUUCCGGGGGAAGUAUGGUUGCAAAGCUGAAACUUAAAGGAAUUGACGGAA